rnacentral:rRNA from 1 species
AGCGAACGCUGGCGGCAGGCCUAACACAUGCAAGUCGAACGAACCUUUCGGGGUUAGUGGCGGACGUGUGAGUAACACGUGGGAACGUGCCUUUAGGUUCGGUAUAACUCAGGGAAACUUGUGCUAAUACCGCAUGUGCCCUUCGGGGGAAAGAUUAAUCGCCUGUUGAGCGGCCCGCGUCUGAUUCGCUAGUUGGUUGAGGUAAUGGCUCACCACGGCGACGAUCAGUAGCUGGUCUGAGAGGAUGAUCAGCCACAUUGGGACUGAGACACGGCCCAAACUCCUACGGGAGGCAGCAGUGGGGAAUCUUGCGCAAUGGGCGAAAGCCUGACGAAGCCAUGCCGCGUGAAUGAUGAAGGUCUUAGGAUUGUAAAAUUCUUUCACCGGGGACGAUAAUGACGGUACCCGGAGAAGAAGCCCCGGCUAACUUCGUG